GGUGACGGGGGGGGCAGUGACUGCAGGUAGAGGUGGCUGAAGGGGUGUGUACAGGGUACAGGUGGAAGGGGGUGACGGGAGGGAUCGGGGGGUUAGUGACUGCAGGUAGAGGUGGCUGAAGGGGUGUGUACGGGGUACAGGUGUAAGGGGGUGACGGGGGAUCGGGGGGCAGUGAUUGCAGGCAGAGGUGGCUGAAGGGGUGUGUACGGGGUACAGGUGUAAGGGGGUGACGGGGGGAUCGGGGGACAGUGACUGCAGGCAGAGGUGGCUGAAGGGGUGUGUACGGGGUACAGGUAUAAGGGGAUGACGGGGAGGAUCGGGGGGCAGUGACUGCAGGUAGAGGUGGCUGAAGGGGUGUGUACAGGGUACAGGUGUAAGGGGGUGACGGAGGGAUCGGGGGGCAGUGACUGCAGGCAGAGGUGGCUGAAGGGGUGUGUACAGGGUACAGGUGUAAGGGGGUGAAGGGAGGGAUCGGGGGGCAGUGACUGCAGGUAGAGGUGGCUGAAGGGGUGUGUACGGGGCACAGGUAUAAGGGGGUGACGGGGGGGAUCGGGGGGCAGUGACUGCAGGCAGAGGUGGCUGAAGGGGUGUGUACAGGGUACA